GCGGAUGUGGCGGAAUUGGCAGACGCGCUAGAUUCAGGUUCUAGUGGGCAUUUGCCCUUGUGAGUUCAAGUCUCGUCAUCCGCACCA
rnacentral:tRNA from 1 species